rnacentral:rRNA from 1 species
ACGCUCGACACCUACUGGAGGCAGCAGUGGGGAAUAUUGCACAAUGGGGGAAACCCUGAUGCAGCGACGCCGCGUGAAGGAAGAAGUAUCUCGGUAUGUAAACUUCUAUCAGCAGGGAAGAAAAUGACGGUAUCUGACUAAGAAGCCCCGGCUAACUACGUGCCAACAGCCGCGUAAUCUGAGCGGGCUGGCAAGGC